GAUGAAGAACGCAGUGAAAUGCGAUAAGUAAUGUGAAUUGCAGAAUUCAGUGAAUCAUCGAAUCUUUGAACGCAUCUUGCGCUCCUUGGUAUUCUGAGGAGCAUGCCUGUUUGAGUGUCAUUAAAUUCUCAACUACACUGACUUUGAAUUGGUGUGGCUUGGAUUUGGGGGGGAAAAUUGUUGUGGGCUUUUUGUAUAGUCUGCUCCCCUGAAAUUGAUUAGCGGUACCUUUGUGGAACUGUCUACAGGUGUGAUAAUUAUCUACAUCCUAGACAUCUGCUGGAAUGCUGCUUUCUAAACCUUACUUGUAUUGACAAUCUUGACCUCAAAUCAGGUAGGACUACCCGCUGAACUUAAGCAUAUCAAUAAGCGGAGGA
rnacentral:misc_RNA from 1 species